AUGCAAAAACUUGGAUUUGUUCCUUCUAAGUCAGACACAUCAUUAUUUAUUUAUAACAGAUCCAAUACAUGCAUAUUUGUUCUCAUCUAUAUUGAUGAUAUUAUUGUGACUAGCUCAUCUGAUGAAGCAAUCAGAGGCCUCUUAAAAGACUUGAGUGCAUAUUUUGUGUUAAAGGAUCUUGGAGACAUGCACUAUUUUCUUAGGAUUGAGGUAAAUAAGCAUCAGAAUGGACUUCAUCUCUCUCAAGCAAAGUAUGCAGCUGGUCUGGUUAAAAGGGCAGGAUUGCAAGGUUGUAAACCCUCACUCACUCCAUUAUCCACCUCAGAAAAGUUGUCUCUUAAAGAAGGUAAACCUUUGAGUCAGGAAGAGAGCACAAAAUAUAGAAGCCUUGUAGGAGCUCUUCAGUAUCUAACUCUUACCAGGCCUGAUCUAUCUUUUGUUGUCAACAAAGUCUGCCAGUUUUUGCAUGCACCUACCAAUGUUCUCUUGACAGCUGCCAAGCGCAUAGUCAAAUAUGUUAAACAUACUCUAAACAUAGGUCUAAAUUUUAGCAAGUCACCCUCUACACUUGUCAGUGCUUUUUCUGAUUCUGACUGGGCAGGAUGCCUGGAUGACAGGCGUUCAACAGGUGGUUUUGCAGUCUUUUUUGGACCUAACUCAAUAUCAUGGUGUGCAUGCAAACAGGCUACCGUAUCCAGGUCAAGUACUGAGGCAGAGUACAAAGCAUUAGCAAAUGCUAUAGCUGAAAUCAUAUGGAUUCAGUCUAUGUUGAAACAGCUUGGUGUGAAGAGUAAACAAGCUCCAUGCUUGUGGUGUGACAACCUUGGUGCUACUUAUCUUUCUGCUAAUUCUGUAUUCCAUGCCAGGACAAAGCACAUAGAGAUAGACUUUCAUUUUGUCAGAGAGAGAGUUGCUCAAAAGCAACUUGACAUUCAAUUUGUGCAUUCAAAGGAUCAGAUUGCAGGUGGAUUCACAAAGCCUUUGCCCACAAGGAGUUUUGAAUAA
rnacentral:rRNA from 1 species